GUGGGGAAUAUUGGACAAUGGGGGGAACCCUGAUCCAGCCAUGCCGCGUGUGUGAAGAAGGCCUUUUGGUUGUAAAGCACUUUAAGCGAGGAGGAGGCUACCGAGAUUAAUACUCUUGGAUAGUGGACGUUACUCGCAGAAUAAGCACCGGCUAACUCUGUGCCAGCAGCCGCGGUAAUACAGAGGGUGCGAGCGUUAAUCGGAUUUACUGGGCGUAAAGCGUGCGUAGGCGGCUUUUUAAGUCGGAUGUGAAAGCCCCGAGCUUAACUUGGGAAUUGCAUUCGAUACUGAGAAGCUAGAGUAUGGGAGAGGAUGGUAGAAUUCCAGGUGUAGCGGUGAAAUGCGUAGAGAUCUGGAGGAAUACCGAUGGCGAAGGCAGCCAUCUGGCAUAAUACUGACGCUGAGGUACGAAAGCAUGGGGAGCAAACAGGAUUAGAAACCCCAGUAGUCC
rnacentral:rRNA from 1 species